GCCAUCAAAGAGACAUGCACACAUGCGGCCCAUUAGGCCACAUAUUGUUGUUGUUCAAGGGACUGAAUUUGAGUCCUCAUCUGAUAACGACUUCACUUUGCCACUUGAUGUUGUAUUCGAGAGUAAAUAUGACCCUCCUCUAGCAGAAGCUCCUUUGACAAAAGCUAGUACAUCUAAUCCCCCUCCCUUUGUGCAACCAACAAGGAAGCGAGGUCGUGGGGUAGCUUGUGGGAGGAGAUUUGCGAGGCUUCGUAAGCUGGGACCCAUUCCUCUAGUGAUUGAGGGGCAUACCUCACCUCAUGUGAGAAUGCCAAGAUAAAUAGCUGGAGGAUAACAUGGAUUGUCAAGCACCAUGCGAACAUGAUGCAUGCUAGCUAGAGGUUUGUUCAAAAGGAUGAGGAAGAGGAGCUGAGUCAGCGUGUGAGGGUGGAUUUUAUCCUGGACUAGGAGGACCACAAUCACCAAGAAUGUGUUGCAUUACAACUACAAAGUAGUUACAAUACCUUCCAUAAUCAACUAUAUGUGGAAUAUAAGAGAAACCUUACUCGUAAAGCAGCCUUGGCUAAAGGCUCAAAGAUUGGGGAUGCACCAAUGUGAGAAAAGUUAUGUGAACGAUGGAUAUCUCUUGCCUUUCAGGUAACAUCACCUAACACAUUUGCUUAACUAUAAAAUAGACAUUUAUCUCUUUCUACAACAUCCCAAUGAACCAAUGAUGAUAUGGUUUUGUAUAUCUAAACCCAGAUUCGUAUAUUGCGUUUGAUUUGGUUUGUUUGUAGUUGGGAAAUACAUUGGAAUCUUGUUUUGGUAUGCAACCCACAUGAUUUAUGAUACACUUUAAGGUUUAAUAUUAUAUAUUUACAUUGAUUUGAUGACCCAUAAAUUAUCUAGCCAAAACAAAAUGAAUAGGGAUAAGGCACGAUCAAAUCACGUUUGUCAAGUUAAUCACUGAAAAUCAUUAGGAAAUAGAAAACUUAGUGGAUUUCUAGAAAUUAUCUCGGUGGUCUCACAAGAAAUGGACAUUUGUGACAGAGCACAGUGAAGCAAACUAUAUGAGCAAUUUAGACAAUAGCAUUAAUUGGUUUAUUUGCAUGUAGAGUUAAUUUGUGAUAUAUAAUGUUAACUUGUGGACUCAUAGAGUAUUAUUGUUUAUAUGAUAGAAUGAAAUUGUAUCUUUAUGGAAAGAGAGAGACCCCACUGGAACGGAUAAAGAUGUUGUGAAAGAAGUAUUCAACGAGGUACUGGGGCACAAAUCUAGGUACGCACGAGGAAUGGGUCGCUUGGUCAUACCUGAACCUUCAAUGUGCUCUCCUUUACUGAAAAAUCUACUACAUCAAGUGGAGAUGUUCAAAACAAGUGCGAGCAACUCACGAGGGGGUUGGAAGUAGUCAUGGAGAGUCAAAGGCUAUAUGAAGAACGGAUGAAUAUGAGGUUCAUAGCGAUGGAGUCUCAAAGAGAAAUGCCAAGGGAUCCUUAGGCUGGCUGAGACAGAGACAUGCUUUUGAUUGUGCAGGUAAAAAUAUAUAGGUACAUAGACAUGGACAAAACUGGUAUGGAGAAUGAUGAAAUUAUAGUUUUGAGCAUAGCCCAAUUUUUUGUGGGGCAUGUUUGCCCUUUAGGCAAAAAGCCAAAAUAGGAUGCAUGUAUAUUUUGUUAAGCAAUUGACAAGUUUAUGUUAGGUAUGGGUUUCUAAAGGUGGUAGUUGUUAAACA